rnacentral:rRNA from 1 species
GUAUAUUAAAGUUGUUGCAGUUAAAAAGCUCGUAGUUGGAUUUCGGAAGGUCCUUAGUAGUCCGCCCCUUCGGGGAGCGGGCUGCUGGCCUCCUAUGUUCCUAACGGUCCUCAUCCGCGAGGGUGGGGAAUCAACCGCUAGGAUCGUUUACUUUGAGGAAAUUAGAGUGUUCAAAGCAGGCGUAACUCGCCUCCGAAUACGUUAGCAUGGGAUAAUGGAAUACGACUUCGGUCUUGUUUCGUUGGUUUCGCUUGGCUGAAGUAAUGAUUGAUAGGGACAGUUGGGGGCAUUAGUAUUUAGUUGUCAGAGGUGAAAUUCUAGGAUUUACUAAAGACUGACCAAUGCGAAAGCAUUUGCCAAGGAUGUUUUCAUUAAUCAAGAACGAAAGUAGGGGGAUCGAAGACGAUCAGAUACCGUCGUAGUCUCUACCGUAAACUAUGCCGACCAGGGAUCCGGAGAGUUUGCAUGGAUGACUCCCCGGGCACCUUGUGAGAAAUCAUAAGUGUUUGGGUUUUGGGGGGAGUAUGGUCGCAAGGCUGAAACUUAAAGGAAUUGACGGAAGGGCACCACCAGGAGUGGAACCUGCGGCUUAAUUUGACUCAACACGGGGAAACUUACGAGGUCAGGACACUGUGAGGAUUGACAGAUUG